GGCACAGUGCCAGAGUGGUUAAUGGGUGAGACUUGAAUUUCCUGAUUCAAUCCUAUCUCAUGGCUUCGGCCGCGCAUGUUCGAACCAUGCCUGUGUCG